rnacentral:rRNA from 1 species
AGAAUCAACGCUGGCGGCGUGCCUAACACAUGCAAGUCGAACGAGAAAGGGUAGCAAUACCUGAGUACAGUGGCGCACGGGUGAGUAACACGUGACUAACCUACCCUGGAGUGGGGAAUAACUGAGGGAAACCUUAGCUAAUACCGCAUAAUACCUACGGGUCAAAGGAGCAAUUCGCUUCAGGAGGGGGUCGCGGCCGAUUAGUUAGUUGGCGGGGUAAUGGCCCACCAAGACAGUGAUCGGUAUCCGGCCUGAGAGGGCGCACGGACACACUGGAACUGAAACACGGUCCAGACUCCUACGGGAGGCAGCAGUGGGGAAUUUGCGCAAUGGGGGAAACCCUGACGCAGCAACGCCGCGUGGAGGAUGAAAUCCCUUGGGAUGUAAACUCCUUUCGAUCGGGACGAUUAUGACGGUACCGGAAGAAGAAGCCCCGGCUAACUUCGUGCCAGCAGCCGC